rnacentral:rRNA from 1 species
UACGUAGGGUGCGAGCGUUGUCCGGAAUUACUGGGCGUAAAGGGCGCGUAGGCGGCGUGUCAAGUCAGGCGUGAAAGCCCCGGCUCAACCUGGGAACCGCGCUUGAGACUGGCAUGCUCGAGUUCGGGAGAGGAUGGUGGAAUUCCCAGUGUAGAGGUGAAAUUCGUAGAUAUUGGGAAGAACACCGAUGGCGAAGGCAGCCAUCUGGACCGACACUGACGCUGAGGCGCGGAAAGCGUGGGGAGCAAACAGGAUUGAGAUACCCUUG